AGCCAUUAGCCAAACAAGUAUUAAAGGUAAUGCCUGCCCAGUGAAGAANNNCACNUCUUUAAAUGGCCACGAGACAUAACCGUGCGAAGGUAGCGAAAUCACUUGUCUCCUAAAUAGAGACCAGUAUGAAUGGCCCCAUGAGAAAGAAACUGUCUCUUGAAGAUAGCCGGUGAAACUGAUCUGCCUGUGCAAAAGCAAGCAUGAUAAAACAAGACAAAAAGACCCUGUGAAACUUAAAAUUAAACGCCAACCACANUGGCACUAUUUUUAGGUUGGGGCAACCAAAGANGAAACAAAACCUCUUNUUACAACAUAGACCCACAAGUCCAAGCACANNNAAACUUGACCCAGUAAAACUGAUUGAUGAACCAAGCUACUCCAGGGAUAACAGCGCCAAAUUCUUGAAGAGUCCACAUCAACAAGAAUACUUACGACCUCGAUGUUGGAUCAGGAUAACCCAAUGGUGCAAAAGCCAAUAAAGGUUCGUUUGUUCAANCGAUUAAUAUCCUACG
rnacentral:rRNA from 1 species